rnacentral:rRNA from 1 species
UUUCCGGUUGAUCCCGCCGGACCCUACUGCUAUUGGGGUGGGACUAAGACAUGCGAGUCGUGCGUCUCCAAGCUAUGGUAGAGACGCGGCGUACGGCUCAGUAACACGUGGUUAACCUACCCUUAGGACGGGGACAACCCCGGGAAACUGGGGCUAAUUUCUGAUAGGUGAGGAGGCCUGGAAUGGUUCUUCGCCGAAAAGGCGUUGAAACCACGCUUUUCAACGUCGCCUAAGGAUGGGGCCGCGCCCGAUCAGGUUGUUGGUGAGGUAACGGCUCACCAAGCCUAUAACCGGUACGGGCCGUGAGAGCGGGAGCCCGGAGAUGGGCACUGAGACAAGGGCCCAGGCCCUACGGGGCGCAGCAGUCGCGAAAACUCCGCAAUGCGCGAAAGCGUGACGGGGCUACCCCGAGUGCCGUCCGCUGAGGAUGGCUUUUCCCCGGUGUAAUGAGCCGGGGGAAUAAGGAGAGGGCAAGACCGGUGUCAGCCGCCGCGGUAAUACCAGCUCUCCGAGUGGUAGGGACGAUUAUUGGGCUUAAAGCGUCCGUAGCCGGCUUAGCAAGUCUCCUGUUAAAUUCAGCGACUCAAUCGUUGAGCCGCGGGAGAUACUACUAGGCUAGGAGGCGGGAGAGGUCGACGGUAUUCCCGGGGGAGGGGUGAAAUCCUAUAAUCCCGGGAGGACCACCAGUGGCGAAGGCUGUCGGCUAGAACGCGCUCGACGGUGAGGGACGAAAGCUGGGGGAGCGAACCGGAUUAGAUACCCGGGUAGUCCCAGCUGUAAACGAUGCGGGCUAGGUGUUGAGGUGGCUACGAGCCACUUCAGUGCCGCAGGGAAGCCAUUAAGCCCGCCGCCUGGGGAGUACGGCCGCAAGGCUGAAACUUAAAGGAAUUGGCGGGGGAGCACCACAAGGCGUGAAGCUUGCGGUUCAAUUGGAGUCAACGCCGGGAA